rnacentral:rRNA from 1 species
ACUGCUCAGUAACACGUGAUCAACUUACCCUAUAGAGAAAAAUAACCUCGGGAAACUGAGGAUAAUGUUUCAUAGUUGAAUUGGCUUGGAAAAGUUUUUCGACGAAAGGGGUAAAAAAAUGGUUUUUAUCUGCUAUAGGAUAGGAUCGUGUUCGAUUAUGGUUGUUGGUGAGGUAAUGGCUCACCGAGCCGAUAAUCGAUAGGGGCCGUGAGAGCGGGAGCCCCGAGAUGGGUACUGAGACAACGACCCAGGCCUUACGAGGCGCAGCAGGCGCGAAACCUCCGCAAUACACGAAAGUGUGACGGGGUUACCCAAAGUGUUCAAUUUUGAACUGUGGUAGGUGAGUAAUGUUCCCUACUAGAAAGGAGAGGGCAAGGCUGGUGCCAGCCGCCGCGGUAAAACCAGCUCUUCAAGUGGUCGGGAUAAUUAUUGGGCUUAAAGUGUCCGUAGCCGGUUUAGUAAGUUCCUGGUAAAAUCGGGUAGCUUAACUAUCUAUAUGCUAGGAAUACUACUAUACUAGAGGGCGGGAGAGGUCUGAGGUACUGCAGGGGUAGGGGUGAAAUCUUAUAAUCCUUGUUGGACCACCAGUGGCGAAGGCGUCAGACUGGAACGCGCCUGACGGUGAGGGACGAAAGCCAGGGGAGCGAACCGGAUUAGAUACCCGGGUAGUCCUGGCCGUAAACGAUGCAUACUAGGUGGUGGCACGGCCAUGAGCCGUGUCAGUGCCGUANGGAAACCGUUAAGUGUGCCGCCUGGGAAGUACGGUCGCAAGGCUAAAACUUAAAGGAAUUGGCGGGGGAGCACCACAAGGGGUGAAGCCUGCGGUUCAAUUGGAUUCAACGCCGGA